AUUGUUUAUGGUUGUGUAAUUACGCUCCUUGCCUUGUCUCUGUUCUACGUUUGCCUUUCUGACUGAAUGAACGACUUCCUUUUCCUCUGAAACUUAAGGUAGGGGUCAAGCAUCGGCGUGUGUGUGGCAAGGUGGAGAGGCAAGGGCCCGGGCGGGAUUCGAUCCCCAGGCUCCUCCGAAGAAAUCGUUUUAUAUUGUCAGAAAUUAAAUAGACUAAACAUCUCCAACCCUUACCGUGCCCCUGGGAUACUUUUUAAAAACGCCAGAAGCUGUCGGAGCGGACUUCUUACCGGACCUGGCCGGGGAACCCCUUGGGAUUUCCCCAGAGGAUGCUUGUCCAAGUGGCUGGGGAGAGGGAAGUCUGGACCUCUCGAUGCUACUGCCCCCGUAACCCGACUCCGGAUAAGCGGAUGAAAAUGGAUGGACAAAUAACAGAUUUACACCUGCUAAUAUUGAUGAAGAGGCUUUGAGAAGCUUUGAGAAGCUUUGCACGAGAUGACCUGAAGGAUCUUUUUCCUGCUCCUGAGAAUUUCUUUCGGAGAAAGAAACUUUGGGAUUUUAUCAGCCAAAAAGUUGAAAAUACGGACUACAAUACUGCCAAGUCUUUUAAUCAGAGUGGGAGUACACCCUUAGAUCAUGAUGUGUCACAUUGUCAGCCUCAAACUUCCACUCCCAUUUCCUACACUGCUGACAAAACCAUGAAAAUGCCAAACCCACCAGAGUAUGUGGUGCAUACAGAUUCAGAGCUGGACAUGGUGCGCGAUCAGUAUUUUGCAUUGCUCCGCAGUGGAAAGUAAAAGGACUGCAUGAUGUCGAAGGAGCUCUGUUGCAGACUUGUAAGGAACACGGUCACCAGCAUGGUUGCAAUUCUGCAUGCUAGUCCCAGGGGGAAAGAAGCAAGAUGCCCCUCCAAACUUGAAAUGAG